rnacentral:rRNA from 1 species
UAACAGGAAGCAGCUUGCUGCUUUGCUGACGAGUGGCGGACGGGUGAGUAAUGUCUGGGAAACUGCCUGAUGGAGGGGGAUAACUACUGGAAACGGUAGCUAAUACCGCAUAACGUCGCAAGACCAAAGAGGGGGACCUUCGGGCCUCUUGCCAUCGGAUGUGCCCAGAUGGGAUUAGCUAGUAGGUGGGGUAACGGCUCACCUAGGCGACGAUCCCUAGCUGGUCUGAGAGGAUGACCAGCCACACUGGAACUGAGACACGGUCCAGACUCCUACGGGAGGCAGCAGUGGGGAAUAUUGCACAAUGGGCGCAAGCCUGAUGCAGCCAUGCCGCGUGUAUGAAGAAGGCCUUCGGGUUGUAAAGUACUUUCAGCGGGGAGGAAGGUGUUGAGGUUAAUAACCUCAGCAAUUGACGUUACCCGCAGAAGAAGCACCGGCUAACUCCGUGCCAGCAGCCGCGGUAAUACGGAGGGUGCAAGCGUUAAUCGGAAUUACUGGGCGUAAAGCGCACGCAGGCGGUCUGUCAAGUCGGAUGUGAAAUCCCCGGGCUCAACCUGGGAACCGCAUUCGAAACUGGCAGGCUAGAGUCUUGUAGAGGGGGGUAGAAUUCCAGGUGUAGCGGUGAAAUGCGUAGAGAUCUGGAGGAAU